rnacentral:rRNA from 1 species
CAGCCGUAAACUAUGCGCGUUAGGUGUAUCGGUGACCACGAGUCACCGAGGUGCCGAAGGGAAACCGUGAAACGUGCCGCCUGGGAAGUACGGUCGCAAGGCUGAAACUUAAAGGAAUUGGCGGGGGAGCACCACAACAGGUGGAGCCUGCGGUUUAAUUGGACUCAACGCCGGGAAGCUCACCGGAUAGGACAGCAGAAUGAUUGCCGGGCUGAAGACUCUGCAUGACUAGCUGAGAGGAGGUGCAUGGCGUAGACGUCU